rnacentral:rRNA from 1 species
UACGAAGGGGGCUAGCGUUGCUCGGAAUUACUGGGCGUAAAGGGCGCGUAGGCGGGUCGUUUAGUUAGAGGUGAAAGCCCAGGGCUCAACCCUGGAAUUGCCUUUAAUACUGGCGGCCUUGAGUAUGGCAGAGGUGUGUGGAACUCCGAGUGUAGAGGUGAAAUUCGAUAGAUAUUCGGAAGAACACCAGUGGCGAAGGCGACACACUGGGCCAUUACUGACGCUGAGGCGCGAAAAGCGUGGGGAGCAACAGG